AAGACUCGAGAAUAAUCAUCUUUGGCUCAGUGGUUUGUCCUCCAGGCCCACUGGGGCGGCAGUCUCACCCGCAUGGCUUUGAGACAGUGGCCCCACCUCACCUCAUCUCUGCAGCACAGCCUGGCUACUGACACCAAGGAAGUGGGCCCACCCUAUGAAACUAAGAAGAAAGAAGCCUUGUACACAUGGGCUUGUGGAUGCUGCAGUCUGAAAAGAGUAGAAAAGAAUAACUUGACAUUGGAGAAGCCUAACAAGCACUACUUCAGCCAGAUGAUCAAAGUUGGCAUCAAUCGUGACAAGUCAUGAAUUGUUGUCAAAUACUACUCUAGAAGCUUUGUGAUGGACUGAACUCGAGUGUAACCUCGUGGUGCUAACUAUGAACAGAAUCAAGAGACUCUUAUACCUUCCCUCACAUCUUCCUGGCUGCCCUGCUUUCAUUCCAGCCAUUCUGGGGCAACCAGCACGGAGAAGAUACAACCUGACAGCGCCUUGACCCAGCUACACCUCCUGCCUCUUGCUUUCUCACUCAGACCUCUCUAACUAAACCUUGAAGGACUCCAUGCAGUAGUGGUCUGAGACUUCAGAUGAUCAGAUCUGCCAGAUUCUGUGUAAAAUAGA